rnacentral:lncRNA from 1 species
CUUAAAUGUAACAAGCAUUGGACCCGAAAUGAGGGAGCCCAGCUGGGGUCUUUGGGUGAAAAGUGUCCUCAACCUCUUCAAAAGCAGAGGUGCAAAUGGUCCCCAGGCAGCGAGGCAGGCAAGGCUUCUAGGUGAAGCCCCCGGCCCCCAGAGAGGGGAACCUCUUCCUGUGAUGGGUACACCGGGAUGUUUAACCACUGGUUUUCUGGGAACGAGAUGCAAACCCUGGCUCAGCAUAGGGCCAAAGACGCUGACAAGAGGAUUUCUCACUGUGAGAGAAGUGAGCCACCAGAUAGAGAGGACACUCAAACAGCCCCAUGCAGAGGCCAAUAUAGAAAGGAUAAAAUAGCCAGCAUCAACUUACCGGCUUUGUAAGAGAGCCUUUAUAACUGAAUCCACUGCCCCGGUCAAGCCUUCAGAUGACUGCAGCUCUAGCCUACAUCUGGCUGCAAUCUCAGGUGUUCAGAUCAAGGGAAACUACUCUAAGAGGCUACACUUGAGGAACAACAACCAAGGAGCUUCAACUGCAUCUGGAUUUCAGGAGUCUGGAAAACUUUUCUUUUGAGCUAUUGACAGCCUUUAACAACUGAGUAAAGUGUACUCCUGUGAACAAAAUUCAGAGCCUGUUUGUUUCUCUCUACCUGAUUUCUCCAGAAUUUGGAAACUAUUUACUGACUCUUCUUAUUUCUGUUAACCAACCAGUGAUCUCUGGCUGCUGCUCAGAAGAACUAAGAAGGAUGGGUAAUAUAAAAUCCAGAUCAAUAUUCUUAUUCUGGGCACAUAUUGGAAUCAGCUAACAACCCCAUAUCAGUUUGGUUCCAACAAUUGCCCAGUUCAUGGAAAGCCUCUAAUUUUGUUUAUUUGGGAUGAUUUUGCUUAUUUUGCUUUACUAUUGUGGAAUAUAUUGCUGUUGUACUCUUUGUGUAGGAAUGCAGGAUAUGCUUGCUGAAUGUUUUCUUAAAUUGAACCCUUAUUCCUCUUCCAGGUACCAUCUUUUGUUGGAACUCAGUUACAAAUAACCCUCACCAUACCAGCACUUUCUGAAUGAGCUCCUCUCUACCCUGAAGGCAAAAGACCCAAUAGUUAGGCUGGAAUAUUAUCACCCCUAUUCAGCCUGAAGAAGUUACAGAAAAUGGAUCUUCAUCUGUCUACAACCCUUAGGAUUAAGUGUUCUCUUAUAAUAGGGAGGGGGGAAUUGUCAGAGGCAUUUGAAUCAAAGCAACUCCAUUUCACACAGGGGCUAAGUGAAAUAAGGCUAAGACCUACUAGGCUGCAUUCCCAGGAGGUUAAGACAUUCUAAGUCACAGGAUGAGACAGGAGAGCGGCAUAAGAUGCAGGUCAGAAAGAUCUUGUGGAUAAAACAGGUUGCAGUAAAGAAGCCAGCCAAAACAUCAAAACCAAGAUGGCGACAAAAGUGACUUCUGGUCGUCUGCACUGCUACAUUCCCGCCAGCACCACGGCAGUUUACAAAUGCCAUGGCAAUGUCAGGAGGUUGCCCUACAUGUUCUAAAAUGGGGAGGAACCCUCAGUUCCAGGAAUUGCCCACCCCUUUCCUGGAAAACUCAUGAAUAAUCCACCCUUUGUUUAGCAUAUAAACAAGAAAUAACCAUAAAAAUGGGCAACUAGGUGUGCACCACUGCUCUUCUUAUGGAGUAGCCAUUCUUUCAUUCCUUUACUUUCAUAAUAAACUUGCUUUCACUUAAAAAAAAACUUGACCCUUACCUUAUGCCAUGUAUAAAAAUUAACUCACAAUGAAUCAGGAGGUAUUCCUUUUUCCUGACUGCCUUUGAACUGGGACAUCAUUUUUUUCCCUGUCUUCAGACUUGAACUGAAACAUCAGCUUUUCUUGAGUCUCAACCUGCUGUUCUUUGGACUAGAACUGCACCAUUGGCUCUCUUGGGUUUCCAGCUUAACAACUGUAGAUCUUGGAACUUGGCAGCUUUCAUAAAUACAUGAGUUAAUUUCUUAAAAUAAAUAUAUUCAUAUGUAUGUAUAUAAAAUACAUAUCUAUCUAUCUAUCUAUCUAUCUAUCUAUCUAUCUAUCUAUCUAUCUUCUAUUGAUUUUUUUUUCUCUGGAGAACCCUGACUAGUACAGCUACAUAUAGUGUGGUAUUGGUGUUAAAGAUCAAUAAAGCAGCAUGCAGAAUUCAAAACAAAACAUAUAUAGAAUUAACUGCCAACAAACAUGACAAAGUAGUCUACAUAGAAAAGGGUAGUUUUUUCCCCCAAAUGUUGCUGAUAACAAUUGUAUUUUCACAUAAAAAUUGACAGUUGACACAACUCGUGCUGUACGAAAAAAAGUUAACUUGUAAACAAAAAAUUAACUUGUAGUGGAUUAUAGACCUAAAUAUAAAAGCUAAAACCAUAAAACUUCUAGAAGAUAAUAUUGGAUAAAAUAUUCACAAACUUGGAGUGGGCAAAGAUUUCUUAAAACACAAAAAUCACUAACCAUUAAAAAAUCCCAAACCUCAGCAUCACACCAUAUACCCAAGUAAAAAAGCUGCACAUGUACCCACUUAAUCUAAAAUAAAAGUUGAAAAAAAUAAUAAUUUAAAAAAUUUGAAAAAUAAAAGUAAAAUAAAAUAGACAUUUGAGUCUUGAAGGACGGCAUUAAGAAACUGUAAAGGCAAACUAUAUUAAUAAAGAAAGUAUUAAUAAUGCAUAUGGAACAGGAGAGUUUCCUGACCUCUUCUUGGGACUUGUGACAAGAGUGUGGCUUGCUUGCUCUGCCACCACACAUUCAAACACCUUACAGGAAGGGGAGCAUACAGAUGGGCAGGUGCAGGAGCUGGGGUGAGCGCUUUUGGGCUCCUGCCCCAUGGUAGCAUCUAGGAGUAUGUUAUGAUUAAUGCUCUUUUAGCAGUUACCAUCUGUGUAUGGCUAAAUGUUAAACCAGCUCAGUGGAGUGUCAGG